CCUGUCUCCUUUCCACAGAUGAGAACUAACUGAAUUCACUCAGAAAUGUUCAAAAAUAGCCAUCAACAGAUAAACAGGAUGGGGUUACAGUUUGGGGUUAAACCUUUUGAAGAGCAGUUUGCAACAGUGGCAUAUCAAUGAGGCACAGAUGUGUAUUCCAACUCUGCAUGGAUGAGCACACUGUUCAAUAGUGCUGGCUCACACGGUAUCAGGCCACAACGCAAUUACUGAGAGACAGCCUCCAAGUGGAGUACAUGAACAAGAGAAUUAGUGUGGGCGAGUUGAAGUGAUGUAUGAUAUGUGAAAUAUAUUGCCUUUCAACUACAAUUAAUUGAAAACAGUAUAAAAAUGUCACUAAUGUCAGCAUGCAGAAUUGUUCACAAUGCUAU